rnacentral:rRNA from 1 species
GAUGAACGCUGGCGGCGUGCCUAAUACAUGCAAGUCGAGCGAACGGACGAGAAGCUUGCUUCUCUGAUGUUAGCGGCGGACGGGUGAGUAACACGUGGAUAACCUACCUAUAAGACUGGGAUAACUUCGGGAAACCGUAGCUAAUACCGGAUCAUAUUUUGAACCGCAUGGUUCAAAAGUGAAAGCCGGUCUUGCUGUCACUUAUAGAUGGAUCCACGCUGCAUUAGAUAGUUGGUAAGGUAACGGCUUACCAAGGCAACGAUGCAUAGCUGACCUGAGAGGGUGAUCAGCCACACUGGAACUGAGACACGGUCCAGACUCCUACGGGAGGCAGAAGUGGGGAAUCUUGGAAAAUGGGCGAAAGCCUGAUGCAGCAAUGCCGCGUGUGUGAAGAAGGUCUUCGGAUUGUAAAGCACUUUAAGUGGGGAGGAAAAGAUGUAAGUUAAUACCUUCAUGUCUUGACGUUACCAAAAGAAAAAGCCACGGCUAACUUCGUG